GACGAACGCUGGCGGCGUGCCUAAUACAUGCAAGUCGAACGAAACUUUCUUACACCGAAUGCUUGCAUUCACCGUAAGAAGUUGAGUGGCGGACGGGUGAGUAACACGUGGGUAACCUGCCUAAAAGAAGGGGAUAACACUUGGAAACAGGUGCUAAUACCGUAUAUCUCUAAGGAUCGCAUGAUCCUUAGAUGAAAGAUGGUUCUGCUAUCGCUUUUAGAUGGACCCGCGGCGUAUUAACUAGUUGGUGGGGUAACGGCCUACCAAGGUGAUGAUACGUAGCCGAACUGAGAGGUUGAUCGGCCACAUUGGGACUGAGACACGGCCCAAACUCCUACGGGAGGCAGCAGUAGGGAAUCUUCCACAAUGGACGCAAGUCUGAUGGAGCAACGCCGCGUGAGUGAAGAAGGUCUUCGGAUCGUAAAACUCUGUUGUUAGAGAAGAACACGAGUGAGAGUAACUGUUCAUUCGAUGACGGUAUCUAACCAGCAAGUCACGGCUAACUACGUGCCAGCAGCCGCGGUAAUACGUAGGUGGCAAGCGUUGUCCGGAUUUAUUGGGCGUAAAGGGAACGCAGGCGGUCUUUUAAGCCUGAUGUGAAAGCCUUCGGCUUAACCGGAGUAGUGCAUUGGAAACUGGAAGACUUGAGUGCAGAAGAGGAGAGUGGAACUCCAUGUGUAGCGGUGAAAUGCGUAGAUAUAUGGAAGAACACCAGUGGCGAAAGCGGCUCUCUGGUCUGUAACUGACGCUGAGGUUCGAAAGCGUGGGUAGCAAACAGG
rnacentral:rRNA from 1 species